AUUGAACGCUAGCGGGAUGCUUUACACAUGCAAGUCGAACGAGUGGCGGACGGGUGAGUAAUAUAUCGGAACGUGCCCAGUAGCGGGGGAUAACUACUCGCAAGAGUGGCUAAUACAGCAUACUAUUUGAUCGCCCGAUAUCGGAUUAGCUAGUUGGUGGGGUAAAGGCUCACCAAGGCAACGAUCCGUAGCUGGUUUGAGAGGAUGACGAGUCACACUGGAACUAGGACACGGCCCAGACUCAGACGGGAGGCAGCAGUGGGGAAUUGUGGACAAUGGGGGAAACCCUGAUCCAGCCAUCCCGCGUGUAUGAGAAGGCCUUCGGGUUGUAAAGUACUUUUGGCAGAGAAGCGGUAUCUGCAGAAUAAGCACCGGCUAACUACGUGCCAGCAGCCGCGGUAAUUC
rnacentral:rRNA from 1 species